UAUACCGUGAAACUGCGAAUGGCUCAUUAAAUCAGUUAUCGUUUAUUUGAUAAUACCUUACUACUUGGAUAACCGUGGUAAUUCUAGAGCUAAUACAUGCUGAAAAUCCCGACUUCGGAAGGGAUGUGUUUAUUAGAUAAAAAACCAAUGCCCUUCGGGGCUUUUUGGUGAUUCAUGAUAACUUUACGGAUCGCAUAGCCUUGCGCUGGCGAUGGUUCAUUCAAAUUUCUGCCCUAUCAACUUUCGAUGGUAAGGUAUUGGCUUACCAUGGUUUCAACGGGUAACGGGGAAUUAGGGUUCGAUUCCGGAGAGGGAGCCUGAGAAACGGCUACCACAUCCAAGGAAGGCAGCAGGCGCGCAAAUUACCCAAUCCCGACACGGGGAGGUAGUGACAAUAAAUACUGAUACAGGGCUCUUUUGGGUCUUGUAAUUGGAAUGAGUACAAUUUAAACCUCUUAACGAGGAACAAUUGGAGGGCAAGUCUGGUGCCAGCAGCCGCGGUAAUUCCAGCUCCAAUAGCGUAUAUUAAAGUUGUUGCAGUUAAAAAGCUCGUAGUUGAAACUUGGGCCUGGCUGGCGGGUCCGCCUCACCGCGUGCACUCGUCCGGCCGGGCCUUCCUUCUGAAGAACCUCAUGCCCUUCACUGGGCGUGCUGGGGAAUCAGGACUUUUACUUUGAAAAAAUUAGAGUGUUCAAAGCAGGCCUUUGCUCGAAUACGUUAGCAUGGAAUAAUAAAAUAGGGCGUGCGUUUCUAUUUUGUUGGUUUCUAGAGACGCCGCAAUGAUUAACAGGAACAGUCGGGGGCAUCAGUAUUCAGUUGUCAGAGGUGAAAUUCUUGGAUUUACUGAAGACUAACUACUGCGAAAGCAUUUGCCAAGGAUGUUUUCAUUAAUCAGUGAACGAAAGUUAGGGGAUCGAAGACGAUCAGAUACCGUCGUAGUCUUAACCGUAAACUAUGCCGACUAGGGAUCGGGCGAUGUUCUUUUUCUGACUCGCUCGGCACCUUACGAGAAAUCAAAGU
rnacentral:rRNA from 1 species